rnacentral:ribozyme from 1 species
UGCCCAGCAACUCCUAUCCCUACCUCCUCGUGGUACUGGCCGGUAACUAAGAGCAACCUUAAGGAAGAUCGGG